AUUUUGGGGUUUCCACGGAGGCCUCCUCCCACAGGCAUGAUGGAUCAAGUCAUUGGCCAUUGGCGGUGAAGUCAACCUCCAGCCUCCUCCCCACCCUCUGGUCACAUGGUUGGCCUCUCCCGGCAGCCAGCCCUGUCCGGGGGCUGCCUUCGGGCCUUCCUCCUGUUGCCUCCUGACCGUAAGCCCAGGUGUGGCGGACAAGGGGAAACCUCCCUCAGCUUCCCUGGAACUGCGGCCCUCGGUCUCUCCAGAUGCCAUCCGGGUCGAGGCAGUUCGAACCGGGUGCCUCGCUCCCACCACAGACCUGGAUCCCCGCGUCGCUGCUCGAGGGGACCCACCAAGAAGACCCUUGCUGGCCCGAGACGAGAGUAAAGAACCGAACUCUGUUGUGUUGAGACCCUCAGACCGGAGCCUGUUUGUUAGUGCAGCCCGGCCUCGCUCGUCCUGACUCACGCGAGGUCCCACCUUAGACAGAGCUGUCCCUGUGAAGGCCUGUCCUGCCCCGGCUGGAGUCAGGCGCCUCCCCUGGGCUCCCCCAGCACUUGGCCUUUCACAUCGUGUCCCACCUUGCGAGAGUCGCCGCGGCACGGGGGCCACCUCUCGGCCUGGGUGAGAGUGCCCCGGGGGCAGGUGCACGCCUACCUUGCCGCCCCCCCCCCCCCCCCCCCGCCCCGUCCCCAUCCCCAGGCGCGGUGCGGAACCUGGCUUCCCUAGGGCUCAGGCCCUGCCUGUUGAGCCUGUUGAACGACCAGGCUUGGCAGGGACCCAGCGGUCCCCCGUGUGCACAUUCUUCUUUCAGAGGAAUGUCCCGGCCCAGGUUCCCACAGAAGCGUCCGGACCAGGGGGAGUGACUCUUUGCGCUCUGGCUGUUGCUCUACUGUAGAAAAAGCCAUUCUUUUGAACUCUGCUGAGGGAGCCCACAAACGGGGCGUAACUGAGACACAGGAAUCCCGGGGUCAGUGGGCAAUCACUCAGGCGGGGGCUCCCCUCCCCCGGCGGGUCAGCAAAAAAUGUCAAGUGAAACCCAUUCUAAUUAAAGGGAACAUUAAGCAGGGCCCUUUUAAACACGGCUAUUUCCUAAAGUCCUCUUUUUUGCUACCAAUGAAUUCCCCUGAGGAAGGGACAGGGGUGAGGGGGUGAGCGCCCGAGACUCUCACCGCCCCGACCCACUCGCCCUGCCUUUAUCUAGAACCGUAUCUCAGUGGCGAGUUAAAGACUUCAGGGAAACUUCUCCGGGCCCUAAUUCACCAGCUGCUUCAUGAGAACACAGUCUCUCAGGCUCCACCCCUUUCGGGGAGGAAGAUGAUAAGCCAGGGGACCCCCACAAGGCGGCUGGGAUGUGACCUGCCCCGGAGACCGUGCGAUUGGUCUGAAAACAGCUCGGACCCAUAGGUGCCCUUGGCUCAACAACUAUUAAUUGAGCGACUUCUGUGUGCCGGGCACUGUCCUAGCUAGACCUUGGGACAGAGCGUCAAACGGGACUGCAACUGCCCUCCAGCACACGGCUUGCCCUUGACUUUGUCUCCGACGAUGUGAUACAUGCAGUCUUGUGUUCCUGCGAGCGUGUGCAUGUGCAUGCGUGGAAGAGGGGGAGGGAGGGAGAGAGAGAUGUUUAUCUCCUCCCCCCUCAAUGCUGGCUUCUACAGUUUUCCAAGCGUCUUGGCCAACGGCGGCCAGAGGAGGGGGAGGGCAGUCAGGCCCUCGCGGGCUUCACGACCGAGCCGGGUGUCCGUCUCACGGGGAAGGGUGGACCAGACCCCGAAGAUCACUCAUCUGAGUACUGGGUUGAGGGUUCUACAAUCAAUUAGUCAUGUCUGCCACGAGUGCAGACAUGGAGAGCGGUGGCCUGUGUGCUCUGCGUGUGUUGACCUUGGUCUAAAAUCGAAAUUGAAGUCCAUUUGAGGAAACAUCAUGAAAGCUACUGGACAAAGCCAUCGAACUUUCUCAUCUCAAGGGCCAGGAGGACCCUGUGACAUGUCCUGAAACCCACAGUGCUCGGGGUCACCUGAAGGACUCAGACACCCGUGCGGGCCAGACUCACACCAGGUGAGCCCACGCCCACCAGCUUCGUGGCUGCUGUUCUCGCUCUCCGGGGGCUCCCCGGUGCCCCGUCUGGCCGCUUGCCGGGAAAGUAGCGCCUUCAGUGAAAUAAUCAUCACGGUCAGUCUUGGAAGGGACAGAAGCUGAGACAGGAGUCCCAUCCAGAGCAAGGCCCGGGGCUCCUUCCCAAAGGAGGCGGCCCACCUUUCAUGCUGAACAGCUUGUGGUUCCUUUCACGCCACGUCUGUUGUAGCCUCUGUACCUUUGCCUGGGCUGUUCCCUCUCUUCCUGGCAUGCUUUCCCUCGCUGCCUCUCUGACCGGCCCGCGCUUGCCACCGAUCAUGCCACGGUGUGAACGACCUGUAUGCUGGGGUCUGUCUCCUCUGCUAGGUUCCAGAGGCCCAGAGGACUCCGCCCCGGGUGUGGCCCACGACGGGCGCCCUGGAAAUAUCACGGAACGACCGUGUCUCGACUUUGUGUCUCACGCCAGCCGUCACUUCUGAGUCUGCCUCUCUCGGAGCUCAUGGAAACAGCAGGUUGGUCCAUUUUGGUCUCCCGUGCAGGCGUCGAGGUCACACUCCGUCCUCGGAUGCAGAACAGGAGGCCCUCUGAAGUUUUCUACAAUUUGCCUUUUAUUGCUGUGUAAGAAACACCUCCUUAAGCUCUCUGAAAGGUUCUUGAGGACAUGAAUGUGUGGUCUCUUCCCCUGGAGAUGGGCAGGGUCCCCGUUUGCCCCAGGAGCAGGCAGGGGGAGGGGCCCCAGGCCAGCUUCUCUAUUGCCCUUUGGGAGUGAGAGUCCCACUGGGGCUCCAGCCAGGGAGGCAGAGAAGCCAGAGUCACUGUUACCGCUGCAGGACUUUGCCUGGGCACUUCGGUCACCCGCGUAAAACUCACGAGGCAAAUGUUGUUAAUAUUGGCACGCUGUUCCCGUCCACGGUUUCUCAAGCACCCGACCAAGCUCCAGGCCCUGAGCAAAGCACCACUGGACGCAUUCCCUGUUUUACCCGGCCGCGGCUCACCGGCGUCACCUUUGCUGACGAGGAACAGGAGGCCCCGAGCGGCAGUUCGCGGUCUCCCCGCCUCCCGCCGCGGCUUGGGCCUGCCCCGUGGCACCUGCUGAUUCUGCACGCGGGAGCUCUCCGCCCUGACCCCGGGGACGACUCAGGCCUCGGUAACUCUCCAAGGAAGGCCUCCCUGACUGGGACCCCCAGAUGAAUGGUACAGAUGAAUGCGUAUCUGUACCGGUUACCCAUGCUGCGUUCCAGGUCACCCCACGCUUAGGGGCUUGAAACGACAUUCUACUGGCUCACAGCUCUGUGGGUCGGCAGUCAGGCACGGCUGAGCUGGGUCCUCCGCUCGGGGUCUCACGUGGCCGACAGCAUGGCACCAGGCAGGCCGCGUUCCUUUUGGAGGCUCUGGGGGAGAACCCAGUUGCGCGCUCAUUGAGGAGGUUGUCCGGAUUCAGGUCCUUGCCGCUGUAGGACUGAUGUCCCCGUUUCCUUCCGGGAGAAAACCCUCCGCUUUUAAAAGCAGACCGACCGGCCCACCUGGCUAAUGAAUGUCCCCACAUCCCAGCGAACGAGUUAAUUGGGCCAUCCUACCCAACCUCACCAUGGGAGCGAAAGCCAUCGUGUUCACAGUCUCAGGGGUAACAUUGCCGUAGGCGUGGACACAGGGUGGGGGAACCUGGGGACCCAGGACUCCAGCGGCCACACUGUGAGCGAUUAACCGGCACCGGGCUGGUGUGCUCUCGGCACGGGUGCACACUUUCCCGAGGAGGCCGCGGUGUGCGGGGCUGGGGUGGGGGUACGUGUGGAUUCAGACAGGCCUCCGUUGGGAUCGUGGUUCCAUCCCCCGUGGCGGAAGGCUUUAGGGAAGCAGCUCAUCUGUAAAACGGAGCGGGGGCUUCUGGUGGGGCAUGUGGAAAGCUGAAUGAGGCUGUGCAGAUCAGCCUUUUGGCAGAGGCCGGCCCUCAGGCACGGCUUUUUAACAGUGCGGUCUCCUGGUGGGCCAGUUGUUCACGAGGGGAAGGAGGUCAGGGCCGUGCCUGAUCUAUUGGAGCAGGAACAUUGGGUGGGGGGUGGCGGCCGAUCGAACAUUCCUAUGCCCUCCGCGGCGGCGUGGUGAUCCCUCCUCGGCUGUGCCCUGAGUGGCACCUGCAGCCCCACGGACAGCCCCACACUUCAGGGCCCUCAGCUUCCUCCCUGUGUCUUCCUGGGGCAGAGCCGCCAGACUGAUAAUUGAUGGGGGGGCGGUGUGGCCCUUUGGGAGUGGACAAAGAGUAUCAGAUGAGGGGGCCACAAAGACAGGCUCUUCCGUGACCAAAGGCAGGGGAGGGCGGCGGUCAGCGAGCAGGUUCUGGCACGACUGUCCGCGUGUGCCUCUCAGCUUCGCUGCGAACGAGUCAUGUGACCAAACCUCUCUGUGCUGCACUGUCCUUCUCUGAAAAUGGAGAGGAGAGCAGACCUAGCUCCCAAGGUUGUCCCGAGGGUGAGACGAAAUAGUGCGGGAAGGCAGCUGGCACGUAGUGACUGCUCAACCAAAGUUACCUUCGCCAUUAUCUUCCUUUUCCUCGGCAUCAUCACCACCAUCACCGUCAAGACCACCACCGCCAUCAUUACCUCUUCGUUGGCUUAACAGGUGGGCUCCUGCUAUGAGUGUCACAAGCAGAGGGAGAGACUCAAGCAGGGAUGGGUCAGAUUUCUCUGACCCACCACCUCUCAGCAGGGCCCAGCUGGACUGUCUGGGGAGGGGUGGUGGUCACAGAAGCAGACGCUGGCCCAAAGGCACGAACUUUGUCCACCCAAACUGGGCUCUGGUGGGCCUGAGUCGAGGGUCGGUGUUGGGGGUGCUGGAAGAAUCUAGGAAUGUUGGAGACUUGACAGAAGGCAAGAGGGGGAUGAGGCGUCUCCCGGCAUCUCCCCCCUUCCACCUGCUUCUCUAAAGGGGCUCUUUGGAGAGAAGCUGCAAGGCAGGAUUCCGGAGGACUCCUGCUUCUCUUGGCCUCAGUUGUCCCAUCUCUAAAAUGGGGACACGCCCGGCCGCACCAGGACUCAGGGAGACACUGCUGAAGGCCUGACCUGAGCAGUCAGUAGGUGGCGCUGGUGGGCACGAAAGCCACUCUACGGCUGGCGGCGGGGAGCGGGUGGGAGGCGAGAGAUCCUGCUGUGGCUCUAGGGCAGCUGUCUGUGGGAGUAGCCCCAGCAAGGCGCUGGUGAGGACUCUCACGACUCCUGGGGGCAGAGGAACCGGCUGGUGUUGGAGGCUCUCCCCUUUGGUGGAGCUGCAGACCCUGCCUUGGGUACCUUAGCUGUCUACGGACAUCUCCAGCUCAGCGUGCACCAGACAAGGGGUAAUACCCCUCCGGAGUCACCCCUAGCUCCCCGCCCCACUGGGUGGGGCCUCCUCCCAGGUGUGUUGGAGUGACAUCCCAUGCCCUUGGCCCUUACCUGGACCCUGUCCCUGAGCCCUGCCGGGGUCACCUUUAAACCCCCCACCAUCGGCCCCCUGGGACCCGUGUGGCCGCGGUAAUCUCCUCUCCCACUCCUUCUAACCUCCGCCUAACAUCUUAAAGAAGCUUCCAAAGUGUCACGUAAGGCCCUGCAUCUGCAACUUGCAGGGUCCCUGGCCCUCAGGAUAAAGUGCAAGGCCCUGAUAAGGCCCACGAGGCCCUGAAGUGUGGGGCUGGCUCAUGGCUGCAGCCCUGUCCUUAGUCACGGGCUGGCUUGCCCCAGUGUCCAGGCAGCAUGGUGUCCCUCCCUCUGGGUCUUGCUCAGGCCUUUCCUACUUUUCCUGUCCAUCUGCCUCGUGGGUAGGCUGUGUGGGUUCCGGGAGUCACCGCUUGUCUUGUUUGUGGGGUGCCUGGCAUGUAUGAAGCCCUCAAGAAUGUUCUGUGUUCGUAUGCCUACGAUUACUCUUGCCCUCACCCAGCAUGGGAUGAUGAAGUAGGUGGAUACACAGAUGAAUGAAUGAAUGAAUGAAUGAAUGAAUGACACUCCCCUGCAUCUUCCACUGGCCGCCCGGAUGGUUCCGAGCUCACGGAAGGAGGUGGCCGUGUGGGUCCCCUGCAGGUGGGACCCAGGCCAGCUGGGGAGUCCCGACUCCCCCGGGGGGGAGGGGGCAGGUCUUAGGUUGGCCAUGGCUCCGCCCUGACCUUAACCCCAGAGGAAGGAAGGAAUGGUGGCCGGGCAGAACGCCCCGCCUACCUGGGCAGCCCCGCCCUUCCGUUUUCUUUCCGUUUCAUUCUGUUGCAAAGGAGGAAAGGCGACCAGGCGGAUGGGGCUGCAGGCACAGACGGACAGGUAUUUUGCAAGUGAGACCAACGGACUUCUGGCGAGGGGCUGGGGCCACUGUUGAGCCGUCUAGGCCCUCCUGGGUGGGCGCCUCCCAACCCAAGAUAGUGCCAAGGCUAGAUCACUCAGGCGCGGCCUCCAGCCCUCCCACCCAGGAUGGCCCACCUGGCUUCUGCCUGGUCAUUGCCUCAUGCAGAGGUAAGGAUGGUCUCGAAGCCCCAGAACCGGGGCUGGAGCCCCUGGUGUCUGGGUCAACCUGUGCCACUUAUAAACUCAGGCCGAGACGCCCGCUCUCUCUGAGAAGGGGAGGUUGGGGCUCUGGGGUCAGGGGGAGGGACCCCGCUUCCAUGGAUUUGGGCAGGGCACUCUCUACCUCUCAGGUUCUGGGCCUGGGAAAGGGAGGUGUGAAGGGACCCAAGGCCACGGGGGCCUGCAUAGGAGCCAGCCUCCCACGUGGGGUGUAAAAAUCAUGACAUAUUCAGAAGCUGGAAUGUUCUUCUCAGGCUGUAAAUCAAGCGUGGUCACAUCACCUCUCCGGCCACCAAGACCUCUCCAGGCACUUGGGACAGUUGUCCACCCCACGAGGCCCUGGAGGUCUGGCCCGGCCUGCCCAGGUCUAUCCCGCUCAUACGUGGUCCCGGCUCCGGAACUCUGGUCUCGCUGGCCCAGCUCCCGAGCUCCCCUUCACGCAUGCUGUUCCCUCUGCCUGGAACUACGCUGUUCCCUCUGCCCAGAACAGUCCUACCUCCUGACCCCAUACCUUCUCUCCUUAGCCCGCUGAGUAGCCGCCCCACGUCCGCCUCCUCUGGGGCUCUGCACACCUGUCGUCGCGGCUCGGGUGUGUGAUCGUGUUUCUCUCGCCUCGUCCCUGUGCCCCUGGAGGACAGGUUCUGGCACCCCUUAUCCACUGGGCGGGAGGCACAUGUUCCACGGAGAGAUCCAAAGCUGGGGCCCUGCUGCCUCCCCCUUCCCUCCCGGCCCGGCCGGCCCUGGGAGGAGACGUUUGUUUCCCUGGGGAAAAGGGCCUCUCAGGACGGCAUCUGCCACUGGAGAAACCGGGAGGAAGAGGGAGUCCAGGCAGACGUGGGCUCCGGGCCUCCGGAGGGCCACGGAUGCCACAGGCGUCCCUCGUGGAGUCAGCGACAAGGGGUUCUGGGAAACGGCUCUCCCUGAGAGAUCGGCCGUUCAAGUGGACGUUGAAAGAGCCAUUAGCUUGAGGCGCCAGGAGACGCGCAGGAAACAGGUUCUGGACGGAAAUGACACGGUCCCGUGUGGGUGCGCGCUCAGCCCCUUGGUGGGGUCUCCUGGCGGUGCAGGGGGGAGUCUGUACCACCCCGAAUGCCCUCUGGCUGUGCAGUGGGGAGAAGGGCAGGCCUGACAGCACUCCCCCCCCCCCCGCCACGACCCCCUCCAACCUGGGACCCUGUCCUGGGGGUGCCGGGCACCUGUGAGCGUUUCCAUUCUGGGGCCUGGGGACGUGAGUUAGGACCACCGGCCAGGGUGGGGUCCCCGAGCUCCCACCUGCAACCCCCAAGUCCUUCCACUGCGGACGCCCUGCCCGUAAGUGGUUUGCACGCCUCACUUAACAGUCGGGACCACUCCCCGAGGAGCUAGCUGCUCUAAAUGGCCAUUUAACAGAUGAGGAAAGUGAGGCCCAGAGACGCGCAACAAGAGGCUUGGGAGAAGCUUUCCUCCCUCUCCCAAUCUCUCCCUGCCCCUCCUUUACUAGACAAGACUUUCCUGCGCAGGCGUGGGCCGGGUGUUGGGAAUACCAAGAGGGCCCUCCUGGGCCUCUCCCCGGCUGGUUACCAGCAGGGGACAAGCAGGUCAGUCCCCAGGCCAGCUCUGGCACGCUGGCGGUGGCCCCUGGAGAGCUGUGCGGGAUGGGGCUGGGAGGCAGGGUCUGGCUCGGGGAAAGUGUGCUGCGAUCCAUUAGUGAUGUCUGCCGUGGUGCACGUAGGCCUGGGGAGAAGGGGCGGGAUUUGCUGUCCACCCCUGGAGCCCAGACCCGCAGAGCCUCUAAAACCCCUCCCGACAGCGCCAGGGCUCUUCUCUCCAUUUUCAGAUGAGAAGGCAGGUUCUGUGUGAGGUCUUACGGCUCAACCAUGGCCGAGCUGGGACCUGAGCCCGGGCCCCGAGGGUCCCCGCUUUCCUCGGCCUCCUGCUACUGUGCCCUGGCUGCCUCUUUGCUUCGGCUGCUAGGGAGCUCCGAGGACAGCUUGGGGCCUGCCCUCAGGUGCCCCCUCAGCCUGGGGUUUGGAGCAUCUCUCUUGCCCCCUCCUCUGGGCUCUUUAUCCUCCCUGCCGGGCCUCCCGUGGAGCGGGCCGGACAUAAGUUAUCAACUAUAAAUAAAACCAAGACUUCCGUUCUGGCCCUCA